CUCCCACCCGGGCCGGUCCCGGGCGCCCCCUCCCUCCCCGCCGCGCCCCCGCCCCGCCGCCGGCAGCCGUGACCUUGCCAUCCGCCAGCCUUGGGGACAGCCCUGGGGACAGCCGCGCUGGAUCGGAGAGCCGCCGUGGGAUGCGAUAGCCGGCGGAUCGCACGGAAAUAUUUCUCCUGGGAAGGAGAGCGGCAGCCUCCUCCCGCGGUCGGGGGCCGGCAAGAAAAGCGGAUUUAAAGAGCAUCUUUGCCCCUUUGUUGGAUGAGAAGGACAGGGGAGGACCGGCAGGAUGAGCACUAGCACAGUUCCCUAUCAGCAAAACCCCUACACCCCUGGGAGCAGCUCCUCCGUGAUCCAGUGCUACCGCUGUGGGGACACCUGCAAGGGCGAGGUGGUGCGUGUCCAGAGCAACCACUUCCACAUCCGCUGCUUCACCUGCCAAGUGUGCGGCUGCGACCUGGCACAGUCGGGCUUCUUCUUUAAGAACCAGGAGUACAUCUGCACCCACGACUACCAGCAGCUCUACGGGACCCGCUGCGACAGCUGUGGGGACUUCAUCACUGGAGAGGUCAUCUCUGCCCUGGGGAGGACCUACCACCCCAAGUGCUUUGUCUGCAGCACCUGCAGGAAGCCAUUCCCCAUCGGAGACAAGGUCACGUUCAGCGGGAAGGACUGCGUCUGCCAAAACUGCUCCCACUCUCUCAUCAGCACCAAACCCAUCAAGAUCCAUGGGCCGAGCCACUGUGCUGGCUGCAAGGAGGAGAUCAAGCAAGGCCAGUCCCUCCUGGCCCUGGAGAAGCAGUGGCACGUCAGCUGCUUCAAGUGCCAAACGUGCGGGAUCAUCCUCACUGGCGAGUACAUCAGCAAGGAUGGCAUCCCGUACUGUGAGUCUGACUACCACGCCCAGUUUGGCAUCAAGUGCGAGACCUGUGACCGGUACAUCAGUGGCCGGGUCCUGGAGGCAGGAGGGAAGCACUACCACCCCACCUGUGCCAGGUGUGUCCGCUGCCACCAGAUGUUCACAGAAGGAGAGGAGAUGUACCUCACAGGCUCUGAAGUGUGGCACCCCAUCUGCAAGCAGGCGGCCAGAGCAGAGAAGAAGCUGAAGCACAGAAGGACGUCGGAAACCUCCAUCUCCCCGCCUGGUUCCAGCAUUGGCUCCCCGAACCGUGUCAUCUGCGCUAAAGUGGAUAAUGAGAUCCUUAAUUACAAAGACCUGGCAGCUCUUCCCAAGAUUAAAGCCAUCUAUGAAGUGCAGCGUCCUGACCUCAUUUCCUACGAGCCCUAUCACAGAUACACGUCGGAUGAGACACUGGAGAGAUAUAGCUAUGGGGAGUCCCUGGGGACCCUCUCCCCAUACUCACAGGACAUCUAUGAGAGCUUUGACACGCGGCAGAGGCGAGCCUCCAGCCCUGGCUACAUCGACUCCCCCACCUACAGCCGCCAGGGCAUGUCCCCCACCAUCCCCAGGUCCCCCCACCAUUUCUACCGCUCAGGCACCGAGAGUGGGCGCAGCUCCCCCUACUAUAGCCAGUUAGAUGUGAGGUCCUCCACUCCAACCUCAUACCAAGCACCCAAGCAUUUCCACAUCCCAGCUGCCGGCGAGAGUAACAUCUACCGGAAGCCCCCCAUCUACAAGCGCCACGCCACCAAAAGCAAAACCAGCGAAGACAUCGCUCAGUCAUCCAAGUACAGCCCGGCCUACUCCCCGGAUCCGUACUACCACUCCGAGUCGGAGUACUGGCCCUUCCAAGGCUCACCCAAAGCCCCCCGGGCCCGGAGGUUCUCGUCAGGUGGUGAGGAGGAUGGGUACGACCGGGGCAUGCACAAGAUCCAGAGUGGCAUUGGCAGGCUGAUCCUGAGGGAGGAGAUGAAGGCUCGGUCCAACUCCUAUGCAGACCCCUGGACACCCCCUCGCAGCUCAGCCAGCAGCAGAGAAGCCCUGCACACGACUGGCUAUGAGGGCUCCCUCAACGGCUCUCCCAGAACCCACUACCUGGCUGACAGCGAUCCUCUCAUUUCUAAGUCGGCCUCCCUUCCUGCCUACAGGAGGAAUGGGCUGCACAGGCCUCCCAGCGCUGAGCUGUUCCACUACGACAGCACGAAUGCCGUCAACUGGGGGAUGCGAGAGUACAAGGUAAGAUGCUUCUGCUGCAAGGAUUGGCUGUCAGCCAGAGGUGGGAGUUCCAUAGAUGUGUCUGUGUGUCCCUGGGCUCUUCAGGGGGAAGUUUUGCUCUCUUCCUGCAAUGCCCUGCCUUCGUCCCCCUCCGUCCCCUACCUGACAGCCCCAUCCCAGGACUGCUGGGCUCGGACCAGAGUCCGUCCCCUCCUGCCAGGGUCCCAAGCACUUGGAUGAGCAGAAUUGUCUCCUGGGUGAGGAACAGAGAAAGCUGUUUGUGCCAUGAUUUCCUACUCGCAUCUGUACCUGGGUCACUCCUGGUUUUGCAGAAUGAGCAGGCUAUUCCAGAGCCACUAAGGGGAUUUAAGGUGGAUCAGGAUCACCCUGAGAGCAAGUCCCUCCUAGGCCUUGUCCCAUCCAAUCGCUGGAGUCAGCUGUGCCACCCAAACACUGCUAAAUGUGGCAGGAGGAGGUUUUGCUUGGUGGUCCCCAUGUGUGCCCCCAUGUGUCCCAAGUGUGCCUCAGUUGUCUUCCUCUGGCUCUGGAGCUGCCUCAUGGUCUUCCUGUCCCCGUGCAGAUAUACCCCUAUGAGCUGCUCCUGGUGAAGACAAGGGGGAGGAGCCAGCUGCCCAAAGAUGUGGACAGGACUCGGUUAGAGCGGCACCUUUCCCAGGAGGAAUUCUACCAGAUCUUCGGCAUGACCAUCGCAGAGUUCGACCGCCUGGCCCUGUGGAAGAGGAAUGAGCUGAAGAAGCAGGCCCGGCUGUUUUAAAUGCAGUGCACUAUAAAUAUAUACAUACCUAUAAAUAUAUACAUAGAGAGAUCUCUAUAUUGCAGCUCUACAUGAUUCUCGGUGCUGUACGGGGCAGAGGUGCCCUCUGCGCCCCUGAGAGUGAAUUGGAGUCUCGCAGAUCAUUUUAUGCUCUGUGUUUCCUUUACUUUCCCAACCUUGUUUCUGUAUCAAUCUGUGGGUUCUCCUGGGAGCUAAAGCCACGUGGGUCCUGAAGCAUUUGCUAUCUGUCACUGCUGCCCCAGAGGGACAUGAUGGGAGGCGGGAGGAUUUUCCUGCUGCAGCCACAGCACCCAGGGCUGGGGGAGAGCAGGGCUCUGGGGUGGGUUUGGGUUGGGGGGGGCCCAUCCCCCUCUGCUCAGCUGCUCUGUGAAUUUACUUAUGGGUUGGAAAAGGCCCUGGGCACAAUUGCAGGAAAGUGGGAUCUCAGUAGGAGCUCCUUAAACCCCUCCCUGCCUUUACAUGCCAUGACUGGGGGCACCUUUGGGAUCAGAAAUGCAGAGCUUGGGGCAUGGGACAGGAGAAGUGGUGAGGACCCCAUGGGGAGCUGGGUGCACCCCCAUGUCCAAGGUGAGAGCCUGAGCCCUGAUGCCUCCAGGGCUGUUGGCUUUCCCUGCAAGCCCCAUAUUACCAGUUUAUCCUCCCAAGGUGCCAGAAUGGCGGCUUUCCAGGCCAACCCAAAACCAAGCUCUUCUUAAAUGAAAUAGCCAAAGCCACCUCCUGCCUUGUGCAGUUUCUUGCUGUUCUUGAGGUUUAUCCAGGGUCAAGAGGGGACACACUGGGGUACCCAGUCCUGGGCCCCAGUGCUUGGGCUCUGAGGCCUCAGCACUCAUGGGAAUGGUGGGGGUAUUCCAGCUGGCAGAUGGGGGAAAGACCAGAGACAGGGAGGUGGGGAUGCCAGUCCCACUAACUGCUGGACCUCUCCUGGGUUUACCUGAAUUACCCCAUCACGGAUGCCUGAGUCCCUGAUGAAUCCCUCUGCAAGCCUCUGGGAAUGAUGGGCAUUCCCAGGACCAUUCAGCAUUCCCUCCACUGCAAACUAUUGGUUUGGGGGAGGGGAGGUUGACUUAUUUUUUUCAUAAAACUAAUAAGGUUAUUUCCACUCAAACAUUUUUCCUGGUGUCUGUGGUGCUCUGGUUUCCUAUUUGCUUGUCCAUCACAAUUUUCAGGCGUGUGACGGGACUGAACUGUCACAAACAGGCCAGGAAGCUGUAGGAUAUCUCUGCAGGAGCCGGGUCAGCAGAGUUCCUCUGAAGGUACAGCAAGGGUCAGCUCUGGGAGCUUUACACCAACAUAGGAGGGGCUGGGGACUCAGGUGGAUAUGGCACUAUUUCCCUGGUAGUGGCCCCUGUGUGCUUUACAGCAGCACUAAUUGAACCAAUUUUAUUUAUAAUUGUUUUACUCAUACAAACUGCGGCUCCCUAAAUCAAGCUUAACUGUUUGUGGCUACAGGAAACUUCUGUCUCCAGCAGCAGUUUCAGUGAUAAAGCCUGGAGGAUAUUGUUAAUAACAAUAAUAACAGAA